GAGGGUAUAAUUCAUAUGGUAGAGUGUAUGCUUAGCAUGCACGAGAUCCUGGGUUCAAUCCCCAGUAUCUCCG
rnacentral:tRNA from 1 species